CCUACGGGAUGCAGCAGUGAGGAAUAUUGGUCACUGGGCUUGCGCCUGAACCAGCGAAGUCGCGUAAGGAAAUACUGCCCUCUGGGUUGUAAACCUCUUUUCUCAGGGACCAACGCCGCCUACGUAUAGCCGGACUGAGAGUACCUGAAGAAAAAGCAUCGGCUAACUCCGUGCCAGCAGCCGCGGGAAUACGAAGGAUGCGAGAGUUAUCCGGAUGUAUUGGGUUUAAAGGGUGCGUAGGCGGAAUGCCAAGUCAGCGGUAAAAUCGCGGGGCUCAACCUCGCUCCGCCGUUGAAACUGGCGUUCUUGAGUGGGCGAGAAGUAUGCGGAAUGCGCGGUGUAGCGGUGAAAUGCAUAGAUAUCACGCUGAACUCCGAUUGCGAAGGCAGCAUACCGGCGCCAAACUGACGCUGAAGCACGAAAGCGUGGGUAUCGAACAGGAUUAGAUACCCCUGUAGUC
rnacentral:rRNA from 1 species